rnacentral:rRNA from 1 species
CAAUAGCGUAUAUUAAAGUUGUUGCGGUUAAAAGCUCGUAGUUGGAUUUCUGCCGAGGACGACCGGUCCGCCCUCUGGGUGAGUAUCUGGUUCGGCCUGGGCAUCUUCUUGGAGAACGUAUCUGCACUUGACUGUGUGGUGCGGUAUCCAGGACUUUUACUUUGAGGAAAUUAGAGUGUUUCAAGCAGGCACACGCCUUGAAUACAUUAGCAUGGAAUAAUAAGAUAGGACCUUGGUUCUAUUUUGUUGGUUUCUAGAGCUGAGGUAAUGAUUAAUAGGGAUAGUUGGGGGCAUUCGUAUUUACUACGUCUAGAGGUGGUAAGUUAACUUUCGGUUAGGUUUAGUUUUAAAGGUUAAACGGGAACCGGUAACCUUACGUCGGAAACGGAAACGACUUUAGUUUCCGAACCGGAAAGGUAGUUUUUCG